UAAUGAGAGAACUCGAGGUUCUCUUAUUAUUGCUAUAAUCUGCAUUUUGGUUGCUUCAGGCCUUGUUGGACUUGCAAUCUAUCUUAAGAAGAGGAGAAACGGACACUCACAUACAGAUUCAGCUGAAAGAAAGCAAGAUGUCAUCCAGUAUACAGAGAUAACUCACAUUAAACCAGCAGAAAACCAGGAGGAGCGAAGAGGUAUACCAGAACUGGAUCUGCUUAGAGACAACCCUAACCUCAACAUUAGUUUAUUAUACACUCCAGUAACAUCACAUGGCUGCCAGCGAGGAUGUUGACACAGCAUGAAGGAGAGAGAGAACAGCAAGUUACUGAGAGGGUAACAUGAUAAUUCACAUCCAAGAGAAGGUGUUACCUCUUACAGUGGAUGUUGAGACAAAAUUAUAGUAAAUAUUCAUCUGGAAAACUUAAUGGAGGCACAGUUGUUACUGGAGGAAAUUCCCAUUUAACGAUUGUGCUGUUAUCAUUUCAAACUUCCUUUGUUGGUCAUUCUCACAGUCUCUUGUUGAUUUGGGGGCUUGAUGAGAUUCACUGAUGCAGACAAAUUCAAUAACUAUGCCUAGGGUUAUUAGAAGGAUGAUCCCUCUUUUCAAGUGCCCAUUGUCCAAAUGUAUAGGUUAUUAAAACAAAUGGAACCUCUUUUAAUACAAUUAAUUAGUGUACUUACUAUACUACUGCUGUGCCAAAGCUUCUUUUCAGUAUUGUCUGUUCUGUUGUUUAAAUGUAGGUGCCACCCCUGUAUAUUUUUUUAUAACUGGUCAUUAUUUAGCUUGCCAGUGGAUAGUAGCUGUGAACAUAAAAAGUAGAUGUUUGGUGAGAUAAAGCCACCUACUCCUCAGCACAAUGGCUAUUAGUGUAAUGGCUUUCGUUGGUGGAAGGACCAAAAUGCAGCGUGGUACGUAUCCAUAAUAUCAUUUAAUCGAGAAUGAAUACAAAAUACAAAAGAACAAGAGAAUAAAUGAAAAUCGAACUGGUACCGAUUGGUACUAACACAUGAAACAAUCACCCACAAAACACAAUAGAAAACAGGCUACCUAAAUAUGGCUCCCAAUCAGAGACAACGACUGACACCUGCCUCUGGUUGAGAACCAUACUAGGCCAAACACAUAGAAAUAUAACAUACAGAACAAAACAUAGAAUGCCCACCCCAACUCACGCCCUGACCAAACUAAAAUAAAGACAUAAAAACGGAACUAAGGUCAGAACGUGACAAUUAGGCUACGUUGGAAACCACCAAAUUCUGUUGAAACAUUUCUGAGUGGUAGAUCUUGAUUUGCCUUUUGACUCAGAAAGUGAUCUUUGGUGACAUUUUACUCUUAUUGCUUUUCACAAAAUGCAGACGUGAUUAAGUGUAGUUCAGAUCUUGCUUUGACAAUAACUGUGUUCAUGCAGUUUGAAUGUACGUUUCAAUGUUUUGUGUGGACCCCAGGAAGAGUUUUGUGCUCUGAGCCAGUGUACACCAAUUUGUACUCUGAGUCAGUGUACUGUAUAUUGUAAGUGUAACUUAAAUCAUGUGUCAGUAAAAUGUUCUCUAACCGUUCUAUGCUUUUACAUUUGGACUGUGGUCAUGCAUUAUUGUGCCAAUUUAUGUUUUAUAUAAAAACAUGUAUUGUAAAUUAUUCCAUGCCAAAUAUAAUUUUAAUCACA